GAUGAACGCUGGCGGCGUGCUUAACACAUGCAAGUCGAACGAUGAAGCCCUGCUUGCUGGGUGGAUUAGUGGCGAACGGGUGAGUAACACGUGGGUAAUCUGCCCUUCACUCCGGGAUAAGCCUGGGAAACUGGGUCUAAUACCGGAUAGGAACGUCCAUCGGAUGGAGGGUGUUGGAGAGAUUUAUCGGUCAUGGAUGGACUCGCGGCCUAUCAGCUUGUUGGUGAGGUAAUGGCUCACCAAGGCGACGCCGGGUAGCCGGCCUGAGAGGGUGACCGGCCACACUGGGACUGAGACACGGCCCAGACUCCUACGGGAGGCAGCAGUGGGGAAUAUUGAACAAUGGGCGAAAGCCUGAUGCAGCGACGCCGCGUGAGGGAUGACGGCCUUCGGGUUGUAAACCUCUUUCAGUAGGGAAGAAGCGAAAGUGACGGUACCUGCAGAAGAAGCACCGGCUAACUACGUG
rnacentral:rRNA from 1 species